AGUAACGACGCUCCAACCGUUACUGAUGUACCUAUCAUCAGUAACGGUCGCAGCAACCGUUACUGAUGUACCAUCAUCAGUGGCGGGCGGCCCGACCCGACCGUGACUAAUGAAGACCAUCAUCAGUGACGGUCACGUUUCCGCGCCCGUCACUGAUGAUAGGUACAUCAGUAACGGUCGCUUUGCCAAUCAGUAUCGGGCGAGCGACCGACACUGAUACAUUUUCAGUAUCUAAAAAAAUAAUUAAAACCACAAAAAAUACACAAAAAAUAUAUAUUUGAAUACACAGCACAGAAAAUACACAAAAAAAUAUAUAUUUGAAUACACAGCACAGAAAAUACACAGCCACAUCAUUUAAAGCAUACAAAUGUAUAUAAAGCCGCAAAAUUUAAAGCAUAUAAAGAAUACAAAUGUAUCUCACUUCACGACAUUGAUUACAAAGUGUGAAAGUUUCAUAGCAAAAUCAAGUUUGAAGCUAUUGUUGUGGGUGAACCCUAGUCACCACUUGUUCCACGCGUUCGUAGAAGUCCCCACUAGGCUUGAUGACCUCAUUGUUGAUAGGAUGGGCGAACUCCCUUUGAAUGUUAUACACGACCCAUUUAGGUCGGUGUGCCAUUGCCAUUCGGGGCCGCCAGUACUCUCUUCCACAGCCGGGAUUGACCCCUUCCACUCAGGUUUGAACAUGCUGGCAUUCUCCAUAAGGAUGUGACAGCACUAGUAGCCACAGCACACACUGCCGGCCGGCUGUUGCUGGCAAGGGAACCUGUGGUUAUGGUGAGGCUCGUCUUUAUAGCCUUUACCAACUAGUUUUCCCUUGGUCGCAACUUUCCAGGCAGUGUUAAUGAGUGAUUUGAUGGGUUUCCAGUAGCGACCUCGAACACCC
rnacentral:lncRNA from 1 species